CCUGCCCACCCCACUCUCAGGGGAUCGCUGGUAGCCCUGAGGUUGCCCCGCUAUUGGGCUGCUUUCUGUCAGACUGCAGGAGGAUGCACGAGGGAAGAGCGUCAGCCCCUGUAUUCACCGGCCUCUCCCUGAGUCCCUCCUCCAUCACCACCCACAGACCCUCACACUACAGAGGUGAGUAAGCAGGGAUGGUUCUGUCAUCCCUGGCUGAGCUGCUGACUGGCUGCUCCUGAAAAUCCUGGUUGCCUCCACAGGGACCCCAGGAAAGGUAUCCAGAACCAUGGAGUCCCACUGCUGUCUGCUCCUCGCCCAGCGUAGAGAUGGAGCUGAACUGUGAACCCAGGCCGAGAAAGCCAGCUCGGGCAGGGCCAGCAUGGGCAUCUCCUGAGACCCCACCGGAAGCCCUGGACACCGUCCAUUCUCAUGACACGGGACUGAGGGAGCAGGAGGGAGUGACAACAGAAAAGGGGGAUCCCUGAAGCACUUGGGAAGGAGGCCCCACCCAGGCACCAUUAGACCUCGAGCCUUCCCCUACCAAGAAAGGCUGUUCCAUGGUCUCUAGACAAGAAACUGAGGCCAAAGAACGGAAAUGACCUGCCCGAGGUCACACAGCGGGUCAGUGACAGAGCCAGGCUGGCACUGAAACGCGCUGGUUGGAGCCCAUGCCCAGGGCUGAUUCUCUGGGAAGGCAGCUGAGGCAGCAGGCUUCAUCCACUAGAGCCCUGUGCCAUGGGCCAGCCCCAUUCACUGCCAGGUCUCUCCACUCCUCAAUGGGCUGGCCGAGGUCCACUGUGUUCAUAGGCACCUUUACCUCUCCAAUGAUGUCAUGUUUGGAGAAGCGGUCAAAGUCAUAGAUGGCCAUCACCAGAGUUUUGCCCCCAAGCUCCUGGUAUGGCACCUGCAGGGCACAAGCAGAAUCAGAGGGGGCCAGAGCGACUCACGCACCUCCAGGGGUGCUAUGGGCAGGGGCCUGCAUUCCAGCCCACAGGGUCCAGGUUAGUGUGCCGAGACAGACAAAGACCAAGGCUUUUGGGGAGCAGAGUGUGAGGGUGGGGUGGGAGGGAUCCCGAUCCUCCAUAGAGGCCGGGGUAGCCCUGCAGUCAAGGCUGCCAUUGUUCCAGGCUGAGCCAUGGCUAAGGACCAAGGAAAGGUCUGUAGAACUC
rnacentral:lncRNA from 1 species